rnacentral:tRNA from 1 species
GGUGCUGUGGCUCAGCAGGUUAAAGCCCUGGCCUGGAGGGCCUGCAUCCCAUAUGCGAGCUAGGUUAGAGUCCCAGCUGCUCCA